GUCGGGCACGGUGGUGCGUGCCUGUAGUCCCAGCUACUUGGGAGGCUGAGGUGGCAGGAUUGCUUCAGUUGAGGAGUUCUGGGCUGUAGUGUGCUAUGCUGAUUGGGCGUCCACACUAAGUUUGGCAUCAAUAUGGUGACCUCCCGGGAGCAGGGGACCACCAGGUUGCCUGAGGAGGGGUGAACUGGCCCAUGUUGGAAACAGAGCAGGUCAAAAACUCCCAUGCUGAUGAGAAGUGGGAUUGUGCCUGUGAAUAGCCACUGCACUCCAGCCUGGGCAGCAUAGUAAGGCCCCAUCUCU
rnacentral:SRP_RNA from 1 species